GACGAACGCUGGCGGCGCGCCUAACACAUGCAAGUCGAACGAGCGAGAGAGAGCUUGCUUUCUCGAGCGAGUGGCGAACGGGUGAGUAACGCGUGAGGAACCUGCCUCAAAGAGGGGGACAACAGUUGGAAACGACUGCUAAUACCGCAUAAGCCCACGGUGCCGCAUGGCACAGAGGGAAAAGGAGCAAUCCGCUUUGAGAUGGCCUCGCGUCCGAUUAGCUAGUUGGUGAGGUAAUGGCCCACCAAGGCGACGAUCGGUAGCCGGACUGAGAGGUUGAACGGCCACAUUGGGACUGAGACACGGCCCAGACUCCUGCGGGAGGCAGCAGUGGGGAAUAUUGCACAAUGGGGGAAACCCUGAUGCAGCGACGCGGCGUGGAGGAAGAAGGUCUACGAAUUGUAAACUCCUGUUGUUGGGAAAGAUAAUGGCGGUACCCAACAAGGAAGUGACGGCUAACUACG
rnacentral:rRNA from 1 species